GUCCCCGCCCCCUGCUGGGCCUCUCUCCGCAGCCGCGAGACCCGCGCUUGGCGCAUAGGCCGGUUCUAAUUUACAAGAACACCGCGGCCUGAGGCCGGAGAGUCCCUUCAACCCGGGAGGCGGCGGCUGCAGGGAGCCGAGACGGCGCCAUUGCCCUCCAGCCUGGGCAAAAAGAGCGAAACUCCGUCUCAAAAAAAAAAAAACAUGGCCGAAACCAGGAAGCUGCGCGAUGGCGCCACGGCCCCUCUUCUCCCGGCCUGUGUCCGGAAGGUUUCCCUCCGAGGCGCCCCGGCUCCCGCAAGCGGAGGAGAGGGCGGGACGUGCCGGGGCCGGAGCUCAGAGGCCCUGGGGCCGCUCUGCUCUCCCGCCAUCGCAAGGGCGGCGCUGACCUGAGGCCUCCCCGCAAAGGUCCCCGAGGCGGCGGCGGCGGCGGGCUGUGAGAACCGCAGAAGAACGCUGGGCGCGCAGCGACCCGUCCACCCCCGCGAGGAGAGACUUCCACAGAGGCAGCGUUUCCACAGCCCAAAGCCACGUUUCUAGGGUGAUGCAGCCCCAGUAAGUUCCUGGCGGGGAAGCUCACGGCUGUCAAAAGAACUCUUCGCUCCAGCCGGCGCACGAAGGGGAGGAGGGCAGGAGGCUGCCGCCCGCACAGGUCAUCUGAUCACGUCGCCCGCCCUAGUCUGCUUUUGUGAAUCUCCACUUUGUUCAACCCCCACCCGCCGUCUCUCCCUCCCUGCGCCUUCCCUCUAACCUUAAAGACCCAGCUACCUCUACGCAAAUGGUAGCUACCUCUGCGCAGGUGGAAGUUGAGUUCGGUUCACGCGGGACCCUCUUCCCUGUGGCAAGCUGCUGAAGGAGACCUGCUGUUACUGCUUUAGCUGCUGUUCUGCUUAAUCUCAGACAGCUGGAAGGUAGUAUUCCGCCCUCGCCCAGCCACCCGAGUAAAUGAGAAUGAUGACUGACUGAGACCCUGAUGGUGGUGGCUUAGGCUUAAUCUCAGACAGCUGGAAGGUAGUAUUCCGCCCUCACCCAGCCACCCGAGUAAAUGAGAAUGAUGACUGACUGAGACCCUGAUGGUGGUGGCUUAGGCAAGAUGAACGUCUGAAAUGGAGGCCCAGGGCUGCCACGAUGGCUCUGUAGUCAUCAGGGAGGGAGCUCCUUUUAUCUUGUUACCUACUCCCCUCUUGUGCCCCUUUCUUCCCUUGAUCUAAGAAGGUUGCUCCGGAUCUCGCCAUCUGGCCUGCGUUCAAUCAGCAGAAGCUUCCUGGAGGAGCAGGAGGAGGCACUGUGCUCGCAUCACAUACCAGUGGCCAGAAGUUGGCUUCAGGGAAGCUCAGGAAAUAGGAUGCGAGAAGCCAUGAGACCUCCCCAAACUCUGCAGUAACAGAGUCAACAAGACAAUGGCUUAAAGAUGGAGAGACCAGUUGAUCGGUCACACAAGCUGUUCCACGAUAAUUCUUGUGUCAGAAGGGGAGGCUGACUACCAGGACCACUGGCCCCACUUCCAGCCCCUCCAUUCUGAGUACACUUCAGAGGGCUCUGGCAGGGUGAGGGGGUCUUGGUGGUGCCACAGAGAGUAAAGGUCUAGCACACCCAUUGUGGAGAUAUUUCAUGGGGACAACCCAGUGACUUCACUUGAAGUAAAGUGGGAUUUUCCAACCUUGAAAAAAAAAAAAAAAAA
rnacentral:lncRNA from 1 species